UUCGUCGAAGUCAUGGCAUCUCUACCGGAUAGCUGACCGAGAUGUCGAGACAUUAACCAUGGCCAGAUGCGCUUCUUACUACGUGCUUAGCUACGGCGCACCGGCCAUCAUCGUGGGACUGGCCGUGGGAUUGAAGCCUGAUGGAUACGGCAAUGCGCAGUUUUGCUGGCUGUCUACCGAGGACAGCCUGAUCUGGAGCUUUGUGGGGCAGUCUGUGCCAUUGUA